rnacentral:rRNA from 1 species
AGAUUGAACGCUGGCGGCAUGCCUUACACAUGCAAGUCGAACGCGAAAGCGGAGCAAUCCGCAAGUAGAGUGGCGAACGGGUGAGUAAUACAUCGGAACAUUUCCAGUAGCGGGGGGAUAACCUGUCGAAAGAUAGGCUAAUACCGCAUACGACCUACGGGUGAAAGCGGAGGACCGCAAGGCUUCGCACUAUUGGAGUGGCCGAUGUCGGAUUAGCUAGUUGGCGGGGUAAAAGCCCACCAAGGCUACGAUCCGUAGCUGGUCUGAGAGGACGAUCAGCCACACUGGAACUGAGACACGGUCCAGACUCCUACGGGAGGCAGCAGUGGGGAAUUUUGGACAAUGGGCGCAAGCCUGAUCCAGCCAUGCCGCGUGAGUGAAGAAGGCCUUCGGUUGUAAAGCUCUUUCGGUGGAGACGAAAAGGUUCGUGCUAAUACCACGAACUAAUGACGGUACCCAAAGAAGAAGCACCGGCUAACUACGUAGCCAGCAGCCG